UACGUAGGGUGCAAGCGUUGUCCGGAAUUAUUGGGCGUAAAGAGCUCGUAGGCGGCUUGUCACGUCGGGUGUGAAAGCCCGGGGCUUAACCCCGGGUCUGCAUUCGAUACGGGCUAGCUAGAGUGUGGUAGGGGAGAUCGGAAUUCCUGGUGUAGCGGUGAAAUGCGCAGAUAUCAGGAGGAACACCGGUGGCGAAGGCGGUUCUCUGGGCCAUUACUGACACUGAGAAGCGAAAGCAUGGGGAGCGAACAGG
rnacentral:rRNA from 1 species